rnacentral:rRNA from 1 species
UAAGAGUGAACUAGCUAACUGAAAUCUCCUUUUCUAUUGCUCUUUAAAAAAGCUAGCACAGAAUAGCUAAUUCAUUACUAUAAUGUUUUAGUCUUAACCAGGAUAACGUUAGGGAUAAUAAUGAUAUUACCUUUCUAUAAGUGUUGUCUAAAUUUGGUGCCAGAAGACUCGGUAAGGCCGAAAACGCAAACGUUAAUCCUCUUAAUCAGGCGUAAAGGGUUCGUAGGCGGCUUUAAUCAUCUUACACCAGAAGAUACUAAUAUAUAAGAAAGCCCAAAGGCUAUUAUAUGCAUUAAACAAAAAUUAGGAUCUUAAAGUAUUUAUUGGGUAAGUCUACUUAAAGCUAGAAUCAGGUAGAGGUAGCAAUGAAAGGCUUAAAGUAGGGGUUUUAUCUCUAGAGAUUUGAUUUUAACAAUCGGAACCGUCGAAGACUAAAUUGCGAAAGCUAAUUUUCCAUUACCGAAUUUGACGCUGAGGAACGAAGGUGAGUGAUAGGAAACAGGAUUUGAUACCCCACUACCCUCUCUGUCAACGAUGAAUGGUAAUUAUUAAUCAGGGUAUUAUACCUGUAAUUAGUUUUAAUGUUAACACGUUAACCAUUCCGCCUUGUGAGUACGAUUGCAAAAUUGAAAACAAAAAAAUUAGUCAGUUUUGGAGCAAACGAAGUGAAGCUG